rnacentral:rRNA from 1 species
AUACGAACCGUACGAACGUUAUUCGGAAUCACUCGGCUUAAAGAGUGCGUAGGCGGCUUGGAAAGUUGGGUGUGAAAUCCCUCGGCUCAACCGAGGAAUUGCGCUCAAUACUUCCAGGCUUGAGGGAGAUAGAGGUAAGCGGAACUAAUGGUGGAGCGGUGAAAUGCGUUGAUAUCAUUAGGAACACCUGAGGCGAAAGCAGCUUACUGGGUCUCUUCUGACGCUGAGGCACGAAAGCUAGGGGAGCGAACGGGAUUAGAAACCCGAGUAGUCC